AUGUCACUUCUUUCUACUGCAGUAUUACCAGCAUUAGUGGUGGAGUUAACUAAUGAAAAUAAAGGAAGGGCAACGAGGGCUCCACCUCUGCGAGUUUCCUCGGCUUCUAUCAGACUUUCUUCUGUAGUUGUAUUGCAGAAUGAAUUUUUUUUCCAGUUUGGAUGUUGCAUUUAUAAUAAAGAUAUAUAUUCUAUAAUAUUCCGUGCUGCUUUACUCUUU